rnacentral:rRNA from 1 species
UACGUAGGGAGCAAGCGUUGUUCGGAUUUACUGGGCGUAAAGGGCGCGUAGGCGGCGCUGUAAGUCACUUGUGAAAUCUCUGAGCUUAACUCAGAACGGCCAAGUGAUACUGCAGUGCUAGAGUGCAGAAGGGGCAAUCGGAAUUCUUGGUGUAGCGGUGAAAUGCGUAGAUAUCAAGAGGAACACCUGAGGUGAAGACGGGUUGCUGGGCUGACACUGACGCUGAGGCGCGAAAGCCAGGGGAGCAAACAGG